AUGGCCACGAGCGCGGCGACGCCGGCGCGCGCGCUCCCGGCCGCCGAGUCCUCCUCUGCCACGGGCGCGAACGCGGGGCCCGCCGAGGCGAGCGGGGACAGCGAUGGGGCCAUGAUGGGCGACAGCUCGGGCGCCAUGGUGGGCGCCGGCUCCGGUGCCAUCGUGGGCGACGGAGUCGGGGCGAAGAUCGGUGCCGGUGCAGGUGACAUGGGCGCCGGAGCCGGUGACACGGGCGCCGGUGCGGGGGGCAUUGUUGGUGGGGCGAUGGGCGACGCCACGGGAGCCAUGAGCAGGGGUGACGGAGCCAUUGCGGGAGGCGCGGUGGCCGGUGGUGUGGCCAUGGGUGCGGCCACUGGGGCCGGAAGCGGCGCGGCGACGGUGGGUGGCAUCGCCGGCGGGGCUGCGGUCACUGCGAGAGGGGGUGCGGAAACUGGUGGCGAGGAGGUGGCAGUGAAUGGCGGAGAGGCAACAGUGGACGCCGCAGGCGACGUGGCGGUGAGCGGUGCAGCGGCGAAGCUCUUUGUCGGAGCUGACGCGGCAGCAAGCUGCGGCGAGGCGGCCACUGUCGGCGGAGCUGCCGCGGCAGCCUGCGGCGCCGAGGCAGCGACGGUCGGCGGCGCGGCAGACACCUGUGGCGCCGAGGCAGCGACGGUCGUCGGCGGUGCUGCAGACACCUGCGACGGCGAGGCGGCCGAGAACGUCGGCGGUGCUGCAGACACCUGCGAUGGCGAGGCGGCCGAGGCCUGCGGCGGUGAUUUGACCGUGGUCGGCGCCGCGGCGAAUGUCUGCGGCGGGAAGGCGCCGACCGGAGCAGCCUUGGACGCGGACGGCGACGAGGCCGGCGACUGCGCGGCGCAGGAGACGAGGAGGAGCGACAGGAGGAGAGGGACGAGCGCCAUUGCUGGUUGCUGUUUAGCUCCCUCUCUCUUCUUCCCAACCAGUACAGUGCUCUAG
rnacentral:rRNA from 1 species